rnacentral:lncRNA from 1 species
CGUUGCCCGGGCCGCCCGGGCCGCCCCGCGGUCCCUUGGGCUCCUCCAGGCCCUCCUUCCCGUCCCCAUCGCCGCUGCUGCUGCUCGCCGCGCCCGGGCUCAGCGAGCGCGUCUCGUCGCCGCUGCAGCCGCCGCUGCUGCUGCCCACCAGGCUCUCGGCGCUGCUCUCCUCCUCAGCGCCGCCGCUGCUACUGCCCUCGUCCUCGUCGUC